CACAACAGCCGCAUCACAAUUCACCAAACUUCCUGUCAGGUGGCAGGGACGGCCAUUCUGCCUACAGACCAGCAUGUGGGCUUGGAGAACAAAGAAGGAAAAGCCUGUUCGUAAAAGCAAAACAAAAGCUUAGAACAAAGCAAGCAACUAGAAAAAAAAAAAACCAAAGAGACUCCUCAGUUCCUGGUCACGCGCAACUGGAGCCAUCUGCACCAGGAAGUCACCAGCCAUGGCCACCAGGACGCUGACACAGAGCGCCCCCACAAGCACGGCCGAUAACCCCUGAGGCAGUUGGCUCAUCUGAGGAACGUUGGAAAAAAAUCAAAAAUAAAACUUGUAAAAUAAUGUCAUCAGUGUUUGAACCUAACAUCUAAUUGGUCCUUCGAGCCGGAUGCAAUACGUUUUGACGAUUCCAGCUGGAGUGAGUGAAACCAGAGGAAAGGCCACCAACUCCUGAUUGAGGAAGCUGUUUUCUUCAUUUUGGCUGGAAUUUGAAAAGCUGACGGAAAUCCGAGGACAAGAGGAAGGAACGCAGAGAGCAGUGAGUACGUUUCAAUUGACAGAGAAAGGAACGUCUAGGGUGUCGGAGUCCCACAAUACAAUUUGAAAUAUCCGUGAACUAUUACAAACCCUGUAAAUCCUAGGCUCUAACAGGUAAAUAGGCCAAAUAAUUAGAGGGGUGUCGGAGUCCGAAGUCCGUGAGUAUUAAAAUUUAAAAUAAAAACUGAAUUAAAAUAAAAACUGAAGAGGCCAAAAUACUGAAGGGUGUCGGAGUCCCAGAAUAUCCGUGAACCAUAAACAAACAUACUGGAGGGUGUCGGAGUCCCACAAUAAAUAUUGAAAUAUCCGUGAACUAAUAUCCUGAGGACGACGGCGUCCAACACAGACCUAAAAUGGUCUAUUCAGAAAAAAAAAGAAAAUGAAUUUUUGUCCGUAAAAAACAAUAACCUGGAGGGUGUCGGAGCGCUACAUGUAUGAAACAUUGAACAUUUUCCGAAUACCAUAACACUGAAAAGUAUGCAUCAACGUCAGAGUGUAUUUGGGAGUAAUCGCCAUUAGGGUAUCACUCCAUAUUAAAGUUGUGAGAAGUAGGUGGGUUAUUGUGGAAGCUUGUAGGCAAGACACCUCCACUGGGGAACCAACUCCAGUAGAAGCGACGUGUACCACUGUAAUAAUUUAAACCACUAUCUUACAACAAAGAGAAAAGUAAUCCUUAUAAGUUCGGCUCUGUAGGGGACGACAGAUUACUCCAAAUUUAUAAAAUGGGAAAAGGGACAAGUAAACCAAAGGUUAGUCCAAAAGAUGAGUUAAAAUGUAAAGACUGGAAAGCAGUAGAAAUAACAAACCCAGAUUUACUGAAAUUUAUCGAUGACUGGAUUUCAAAACAUAAAUUUACCGGUUGUCUCAAAGUAGGUGAUGUAUUAAAUUUGCGAAAAUCAAUAAUAGAAGAAUGCGGAAGUAACAGAAAAAAGCUAGCCAGAAUGGGGUGGCAUCACACGAGGAGCUGGAUGAGAAUGGCUCAAAAUAGAGAAGAUGGAGAAAGACAGGAAAAAAGGGAAGAAAAGGGAGAAAGUGAAAGAAAAGAAAGAGAAGAGGAAAAAGAAAGGGCUAAGAGAGAAAAAGUUUAUGUUUCAUAGAGCUAAAGUUAUAGGCUCAGUUAGGAGAAGAAAUAGGCAAAUUGUAAGAGGAGGUAGUGAAGAUAAGUCAAAUGAGGAAGAAGUACAGAAGGACAUACUAAAUUAUGAGGACUUAAGUAAACAAACAGCAAGUAAAUCAGAGAUAAUAAUAAUAAAUAAAGGGUAAAGAAAUAAAAAUUUAGUGUGACACCGUAGCAUGUAAAGUUAAAGAAGUUAAAGUGCCAAUGAUUAACACACACACACUAGGUGUGGCGAAAUUAUUCUCUGCAUUUGACCCAUGAUCACCCGCUGGGAGGUGAGGGGAGCAUGUAGAGAAUAAAAUGACUGUGCUAGGUUUAGCAAUAGUAUCAGAUUAUGAAGGAGGAAUGAAAAAUAGAAAAAUAGAUGGUAAAAUUGAGAUUGAGUGUGGAGAGAGACAGAGAGAGAGAGAAAAAUAAAAUAACAGAAAACUCAAAGUGCUAAAGUGAGAGUAAAGUAAAAAUACAUGAAGAAAUGGGAAAAAAAAAAAUCAAUAAUAAGAAUUAAUGCUAAAUGGAAUAAACUAAUGCUUACGACAGAGAUAAUGGGGGGUAUUGAAAUAAGAGAUGAAGAAAAGGUAGACUGAAGAUAUGCAUGUAUGUUUGGAUAUUUAAAGAGCGCUUUUAUAUAUACAAAUAUAUAUGUGUAUAAUUAAAUAAUGGAAUAAAUAAAAACCCAGAUUAAUAACUAUAAUAAGAGUUGAGAUAUAUAGUAUGAUAAAAUGAAUUUAUUAGGAAAGAAGAGAGAAAAAAGAAAA